GCUCUUGUAUUGUCUUGUGUAGCACGCGGUUUGUUUCCACCUGCCGCGUGAUUUCAUAUUGUGUUUUUGUCUUGUGCUGUGUAGCACGCAGUCUGUUUCACGGGCUGUGUGCUCUCAUGUUGUCUUGUUUUGUGUGAACACGUGGCUUAUGGGUUCUCUCAUUAGCUGCGUGUUCAUGUCUCCUUUAGUGCUUGUGUUUUUGUUAUGUUUGGUGUGAGCACAUGGCUUGUCAUGUGUUUCUUUGUGCCAUGUGCUCUCAUGUCUAUUGUCUUGACCCCGCCCACCUUGUUACCUCAUUAUUGGUUCAUUUGCCCCACCUGUCCUCCCUCCUUACCUGCCUUGUUUGCUCUCCUAUUUAUUCUCCUUGUGUUUGCAGUCCUGUGCUGGUUCGUUGUCGUAUCUUUCCCUUUUGUGUGGUUCCCUCAAGUCUAUGUCAAGUCUGUUUUCCCCCCACGGGGUAGUUUUUGUUGUGUUGUUUUUUUUGUUUUUUUUAUUAUUGAUAAAAGCCUAUUUUCCAGCAAUUGAGUCCUCGCUCUCAUCCAUCAACCCAAUACCUGACAGUUGGAGCUCACGUAGAAUGAUAGCGCCAUGCAGCACAAGAUCACGACAAACUUAAUCUAUUCAAACUUCAUCGUUUAAAACCACAAAUAUUGUGAAUCACAGAAAGCAAGCAGUUCUGGAAGUUCUCCCUUUGUUUCUCCAUGAAGAUCCUUCUGCACUGUUCAGAAAAUGUCUGGACCACCCAAAUAUUACCCCAUCCCCCCCAUAGUUGACUGCUGUAUGAACUCCAUGACCUUGGGGUUAUGGAAUUUAAAUGGUGGUUGACCUUUGACAUGGGUUAUGAAUAUGUCCAUUGAUUCUCUGCAUUUUGAAAUAUCUGUGGUAUUGACCUGUGGGUCAUUUAUAGGGUGGAACAAAUGGAUGAUUUUUGAACUUUGACACCAUAUUUGAAGUCCUGAUGGUGAUUUAUGAACUUUCGGGGUCACGCAUGAGCAGAUGUGUGACGGCAUCCGCAUUCCGGCACAUGCUCUAAUCUUCCUGUGUAAGCAACAAAAAUAAGAUAUUAAUGAAGAAACAGCCGGAUCAAAAUGACAAAAUAAACAUGGUAUAUUUUAUAAAAUAGAAUACACAAACGCGCACACACACACACACACACACACACACACACACACACACACACACACACACACACACACACACACACACACACACACACACACACACUUCAAAAAGUGAAAAACAUUCACAUCUCCAAAAGAUUGUAACAUGCUGAAUAAUAAAAAACGGUUACUAAAUUUAAUGAGACUGAUUAUUAUAGUUAAAAAAAUAUAAAAACAUGGAAAAAGUUUUCCUCCAGCAAUGAUAUUUGAAUGGGUUAACAAUUGCUUUUAGUUUGAAAUAUAAAUUAAAAAUGUGUUCAUAUAAGUAAAAGAAUAUUUAUUUUAACAAUGUCAAUGCAAAAAGGGAAUUUGGACAUGUUCAGACAUGUUCCAUGUAAAACAUGCAUAAGACAUGGUUGUUUUUAUACUGGAUAUUCUCUCCCCUAAACACAUGUAUCGUAGUAAACGUUUUCAUUUUUAUAUUUUCAAAAAUAUAAUUUAGUAUAAUUUAAAAAGGUGUUUUGCAAAUAAGGGAAUACGUUUUGGU